rnacentral:lncRNA from 1 species
AUGGGCUGUAGCCCGCCAGACUCCUCCGUCCAUGGGAUUCUCCGGGCAGGAAUACUGGAGUGGGUGGCCAUCCCCUCCUCCAGGGGAUCUUCCCCACCCAGGGAUCGAACCAGAAUCUCACGUCUCCUGUGUUGGCAGGCAGAUUCUUUACCACUACGCCACCUGGGAAGCCCUUGCACUUUGAACCCUUUUUUUCAAAUUGUCUUUUUAGUUAAUUUAUUUUUUUUAGCUGCAGCGUGUACCAUGGGGGAUCUUGGGACACCGAUCGGGGAUCCCCUGCAGUCCCCUGCGUUGGGAGGACAGGGUCUUAACCACUCUAAUCAAGUGACCCAAGCUGCUGGCCAGGUCAGCGUGCCGAUGCUGACCAUCACUCUGGAGAGAGUCCUGUAUUGUUGGGUUUUUUUUUCCCCCCCAUCUCCCUGGGGAAACAUCACUGGUGUCCACAUCAAGAGUCCCACGAAGGCUGGUUUUUCUCUCCCCGCAGACCUGCAUCAUCUGGGCAGCCCCACGAGUCUCCUGGCGACGGCUUUCCUCCUCUCUGUGGUGCUCGACUCCGCGUGGCUCCUCACCCAGGAGCAGCAGGAUCUCCCAGCCGUGAAGCCAGACGCCAGUCUAAAUGUGAAGUUUGACCCACAGACGACGAAGCUGACUUGGGACUGCAAGGAAAACACCACCUAUGGGGAGUGUGCACUGAUUCACAAGGAGAAGGGACUGAUUAAGAAAAAGGUCAAACACAGUGAUUGCCAGUGCACAUUUCCAGACUGCUCUCUGCACGGGGGAGUCACGCUCACCGUUGAAGUGAGUGUCAACCAGAGACGGCUUUCAGAGAUGCUGGUCUACACUAACCCAGGUAAGGAGGGCACAGCUGCCGAAAACUUCUCCUGUGUUAUCUACGACGCGGAUUUCAUGAACUGCAGCUGGGCCAAGGGCCGAGCGGCUCCCGACGACGUCCAGUAUUUUUUGUACGUGCGAUCAAAGAAAAGAAUCGAGAGGGAAUGUCCUCGUUACCUGAAAGACUCGGGGACGCACGUGGGAUGUCACCUCCGAGACCUCUCGGGGUUAACGUCGUACAGUUACUUCCUGGUUAACGGUACCAGCCAAGAAGCAGGAAUCCAGUUCUUUGACUCAGUUUUGCUGCUAAAGGAAAUAGAGCAGUACAACCCACCUGACAAUAUCAGCGUCCAGUGCAAUGCGUCCCACUGCCUCAUCCAGUGGGAAAAGCCCAGGACGCGACAGGCACGGUCCAACAGGGAGCUCCAGUACCAGCUGGACAUCGAGAGAUGGCGUGACACCAGCAGCAGCAGAAGUCAGCUGAUUGUAGUAUUUGGUGACUCCGGGAACAGAUACAACUUUCCGAAGCCGGGAUCCAAAGCAAAACAUACUGUGAAGAUAAGGACGGCGGACGCCCGGAAAGCCCGCUGGGGUGCCUGGAGCCCGCCCGUUGAGUUCGGCUCCGAAGAACCAGAGUCCAGCCUGGUGUACAUCUACGUUAUGGUGGUUCUGGGGACCCUCGUCUGUGGCCUGACCCUCGGCUGCCUUUUCAAAAGGUAACCCCGGGGAGUCCCGGGUUGGCUAACCCCCGUGUCUAAAGUCACCCUGCCCCUAUCGGCUUACAGAGAUGAGAAGGCAGCCUGCAAACGCCCCCAGGCGGUCCAAGCCGCCGUGUAGGUUUUCCAUGAGAAAAUCUGUCUGGGGAAAACAGUGUUGACUUAAAAAAAAAUUGUACAAUGUGAAUGUUGCGAGUUUAUGUUUUCUUGGGGGCAAAAUUAGGACCAUGGGCUUCCCUGGGGGCUCAAUGGUGAAGAAUCCGUCUGCAGUGCAGGAGACCUGGGUUUGAUCCCUGGGCUGGGAAGAUCCCCUGGAGGAGAGCAUGGCAACCCACUCCAGGAUUCUCGCCUGGAGCAUCCCAUGGACAGAGGAGCCUGGAGGGCUACAGUCCACGGGGUCGCAGAUGGUCAGACACGACUGAGCGGCUGAAUGAACAAAGGACUGAAUGAAGGGUUGCAGCCCGGGACACAGCGCCUCGGAUAGCUCUGAGGAGCUGCUGCAAAGAGGCAGGGGAGGCAGGUUGGCGUAUAUGUGAUUUUGCUGAAGCGGGAGUUCACGCAAUCAAGCAUAUAUAUUUUUUCUUUGCAGAAUAUCUCUGCUAGUCAUGGGGAGCAGACAUCACCGUGAAGCGUUUCAUUGCUUGUCUAGCUGUGAGAAGAGUUGGGCUCAUAAAAUGGGUUCCUGAGAAUAUCUAACUAUUUGAAGACCUGUCCUGCCAGUUUUGUUUUGGUUUUUUUUCCUCCAGAGCACGAGUGGCUCAUGUCUGCUCUCCACCCUGAACUUCUUUCAGGAGGUGAUUGAACCUCAGCAGCUGCAGAAGCAGCUGGUUUAAUCCUUGUAGAGACAGAUGAAGUUUUGAAAGAGUGAGUCGCUCAGUCGUGCCCGACUCUUUGCAACCCCGUGGACCUGUAGUCCGCCAGGCUCCUCCGUCCGUGGGAUUCUCCAGGCGGGAAUCCUGGAGUGGGUUGCCAUGCCCUCUUCCAGGGGAUCUUCCCGAACCAAGGGUCAAACCCAGCUGUCCUGCACUGCAGGCGGAUUCUUGAGCGUGCGAGUCAGCAGGAAAGCCCCCUUACAGCUCAGCUGUGCUCCAGGGCCCAGCUUCCAUGUUUUUCGGAGCAUCUGGAAUUCUUGGAAUGUUCCUCCUUGACAGACUUCUCUUUUCCCAUAGCGUGUUACUCAGCCCCAGCUCCCAGGCCACUACAGGCCGCGUCCCCCCGCCACAGGGACCCCGCUAGCCUUUUUCCUGUCAUAUGAGCUCAGCAAUCACGAAGGCUCUCUCAGACGCCCCGGAAGGAAGCCUGGCGUGUGCAGAAUAAAGCUUGCGAGCUCUGCA